GAGGUGUGGGCGGUGUCUGCAAUUGAACCUAAGGUCCCUGGGAAACUCAACAGCUACUCGCUGCCGUGUCCUGGCUCCCCACCCAAGCAAUGCACUGACAGGGACUGGAUGAAUGCUUUGGUUGGCAGCCACCGGUAUGGUUUCAAGUUCCCACCUGCUGUCAUUUUGUCCUACCUGUUUGUCCAGGUGAAUGCUGUCUACCUUAGAAGGACAUGUAUUCCUCUGAGAAACGUUGGACAGCAGAUUUGGGUGUAGUGCCUGAUCGGGACCACGUACAAAGACAUCUCCAGUCAUGGUUUGUUGCAGAAUGUGUGAGGGACCACCUAACACUCUUGGUGUGCUUGCAAACUAUAAAGCAGUAAUGGAACCUUGGAAGAGAUAAGUUUACUCUAUGAGGACUGAAGCUGUUGUUAAUUCCCAAAGCCAGACUGGUUAUCUAACAAAGGAUUCAAACCAGGAUGUAGCAAUCAAACUUGCCCAGGAGCGAGCUGAAAUAGUUGCUAAAUAUGACAGAGGACGAGAAGGUGCAGAGAUUGAACCUUGGGAAGAUGCUGAUUACCUUGUUUACAAAGUCACGGAUAGAUUUGGCUUCUUACACGAAGAGGAGCUCCCAUAUCAUAAUGCAGCUAUGGAACGGCAAAAGCACCUGGAAAUUGAAAGAACUACUAAAUGGUUGAAAAUGUUAAAAGGAUGGGAAAAAUACAAGAACACUGAAAAGUUUCAUAGGAGAAUUUACAAAGGAAUCCCACUCCAGCUCAGAGGGGAAGUCUGGGCCCUCCUCCUGGAGAUCCCGAAAAUGAAGGAAGAAACCAGAGACCUAUAUAGUAAAUUAAAACACAGAGCACGGGGUUGUUCACCUGAUAUCAGACAAAUAGACCUUGAUGUCAACCGCACAUUUAGGGACCAUAUCAUGUUUAGAGACAGAUACGGUGUGAAGCAGCAAUCCCUGUUCCACGUUCUUGCUGCAUAUUCUAUCUACAAUACAGAAGUUGGAUACUGUCAGGGGAUGAGCCAGAUCACAGCCUUACUCCUCAUGUAUAUGAAUGAAGAAGACGCCUUCUGGGCCCUGGUCAAACUGUUCUCAGGCCCCAAACAUGCCAUGCAUGGAUUUUUUGUCCAUGGUUUUCCCAAACUCUUGAGGUUUCAAGAACAUCAUGAAAAAAUACUGAAUAAAUUUUUGUCCAAGCUUAAGCAGCACUUGGAUUCUCAAGAAAUCUACACAAGUUUUUACACAAUGAAAUGGUUUUUUCAAUGUUUCCUUGAUCGGACUCCCUUUACACUAAACCUCAGAAUAUGGGACAUCUAUAUCUUUGAAGGAGAACGAAUUCUUACUGCUAUGUCUUACACAAUCUUAAAAUUACACAGAAAACAUCUUAUGAAAUUGUCUAUGGAAGAACUUGUGGAAUUUCUUCAGGAGACCUUGGCAAAGGAUUUUUUCUUCGAAGACGACUUUGUAAUAGAGCAGCUCCAGAUUUCUAUGGUAGAACUAAAGCGGGCAAAGUUAGACCUUCCAGAACCUGGUAAAGAGGAUGAAUUUCCAAAGAAACCUUUGGGACAACUUCCCCCUGAAUCUCAAUCAGCUGGCGUCAGUCACCUGAGCAACGGACAGAGAAGUGUGGGCAGGUCAAGUCCGCAUCUGGACGGCAGGAGAGAGAGCGGCUCGUCACCUUACAAAGCCCACGAGCAUUCCCCUCCCCAUCAAAGUAGAACAGGUACCCCCGAGAGGGUGCGGCAGCUGCGGCGGAAGUCGGUGGACGAGGAGAGUAAAAAGCUUAAAGAUGAGGUGGAUUUUCAAAGGAGACUUCCAUCGGGUCCACAGGACAAUUCCAGGCAGUAUAACCACGCAGCCGCUAACCAGAAUAGCAACGCCACUUCACACAUCAGGAAGGAGUUUGUGCCCAAAUGGAAUAAGCCGUCAGAUAUCUCAGCUAUUGAGAAAACUGCCAAGUAUGUCAUUGAAGGCCGAAGUCGGGCUGCACACCCCACGCCGAGAGUCACCGUCCCCGGUUCCGCUGAUCCGUGGGCCCCCAGCGUCAGGCAGAAGGUGAAGGUGCUGGAUGCGGACGAAGGGAAGCGUGGCUCCACAGCCUCGCAGUAUGACAAUGUACCCGGGGAUGGAGCCAGUGCGGCCCUGGAGCAGGCGCUGGAGAGGGCGCGCUCCCAGAGCCCCAGGGGCGCGGCCUACCCUCACAGCCCAAGGAGGCACGCUGAGCCCAGCUCCAGUCCAUCCAGAGCCCCAAACACGUUUACAUUUAAAUUACAGCCUCCGAGUUAUGCAAAAUAUCCAUCCCAGUUAGACGGGGAGGAUCGAGGGGCAGCACACCCCCCAUCUUACAGUGACCCCCCCACUUACCAGGGCAGUUCUCCAAAGCGCAUCCCUGCUGCUAACAGCAGCUUUGUGUCUCCACCGUUUCCCCACGGGACACCAGUGAAUCCUUCCCGGAGACCUUACGGUUCUACUCUUUCGACUGAUGUUUCUCCAGAGAAAUCUUACAGCCGCCCAACUCCUCUGGUCCAGCCGUCCAGUCGAAUAGAAGUUCUCCCUGUUGAUAUUGGUGCUGCAGGAUAUUCGGGCAAUUCAGGGUCACCAAAGAAAGGGAAAUUCCUCCUUCCUCCAGUGGAAUGUUUGCCAGAUAAUAACGGAAAAUGGUCGGAAGUUGGUUACGCAUUGAGACCGGAGAUGCACGGACAGUCGUGGACUCGUGAUGCCAACCGUAGCCACUUAAGCAGUUUACCCAAAUACCCCACCUUUCAACACGUCCCCUAUCAGGACCACACCCUCCCUGCAGUUUCAGUAGAUAGUCCGGUGCGGUAUCGAACUUCCCCAGCUCUGGAAGAUGCCAGUUCAUCUGGGUAUCAGUAUUCAGGGCCCUCGCCUCCAGUAUAUCACUACAGGAAUCGGGAUGGACUCUCUAUCCAGGAAUCAGUAUUGCUGUGAGAAUUGAUCUGUACUUGCUGCAAACGAGAGAAUAGAAACCAUAUGAAACCUACAUUGCUAUGUUGAUAAUUGCCAAAGCAGUAUUUUAUAGAGUUGUGAACAACUCGCACAAUUCUCGUGUAUGUCAGUGAUAAGAAUACAUGGGAGUGAUUUCAUCCCCACCUAGAUGCUGCUUAAGAUGAGCUUUUAACUUGCAUCAUCACUGAACCUGUUAAAAAGAAUUUAACCUGGAAACAUAGCAAUAGUAUUUAGGGAUGCACGCACAGUUUCAUUUAUAUCUUUCUCCAAAAUCUGAAUAUUUGUACUCUGUUAGUCCAUUCUAUUUUGAGUAAUGAUACAAAGCACUGAAAAACUGUAGAAUAGAUAUUUUUAAGGCUAUGUGUAGUGUACGUGUCUUUUAAUAGAUACUAUAUGCAUCUACGCAUACACGUUUGAACACAGAACUAAAGAAAUGUUAAAAAAAAAACAACAACUACUUUUCAUCUAGAUCCUGGGAAUAAUUUAUUCUACUUCUUUUCCCUACCUUGUCUUUUGGUCAUGUUUUUUUUCCCCCUUAUAUUUUUUACCCAGGUCCUAAACUGAGUUGAGGGUUUGCCCUGGCUUAAUUCAGCAUCUCACGGAAUGCUCAGCUUUCUCGUUCAAUGGCUCAUUCAGUUUUCAAUCUGAAGAUUAAAGACAUUGGAGAGAAAGGCUAGCCACUUAAUGGUGCUUAAAAUCGGGGCAGUUUAAUUUUAUGACCAAAGGUGCAGUGCGCAAUGUAUCCGUGUUCACCAAGAGAUCAGCUUUCGUGCGUCUGUGCCCUUUUUUUCUGGUCUGACCCUCGCAAAGCUCAGAGCAGAGUGUUCCUUGCCAGAUGCCCAGGAAGUGUACACACAGCCCUCCGGCGGAUGCCAGCAGGAGAAGCUGCAAGUUACUGAUCAUCAAGCACUCACACGGGGCAGCAGAACAAAUUCCUUUACAUUCAUUUGAAAGCAAGAUUAACAAUAUGGUUACUUCUUACUUCUGCCCCUUAAAUUACUGUGGAGUCUCCCCGCAAAGGGCCCCGGGGUGGCAUUUACAUGAUCUUUUCCUGGCCCUCUUCUUUAAAGAAUGUAGUCAGUGAAUAUUGCUGCUCGUAGGCUGUUAAAUUAUCGCUGUGUAAAAUUGUAAAAAAUGAUCCUAAUUAUUACUAGGAACCUCAGAUUUUGGUGGGUUUUUUGUUGUUUUUUUUUAAAUAGCGUGACUUUCAUACUUUCAAAAAUCUUUUUUUUUGUUGUUUGUUUCAGUGAAAAAUUCAGGUUCAUGGUAACAAAUCAGCAAUGUCUUUCAAAAUCUUCUGUUACACUACAAUGACCAAAACACUGACCAAGUUUUGGGCACUCUAAGAAAGUAUGCCUUCGGGUUUCACUGGAGAGCUUGUUUUCAACAUUACUUUGAUCCUAUUUGAACAAUAGGGAAUAGAAAACCUAACAUUGAUGGUUCUUCUUGUUGCAAGUUGGGGCUGUAAGCUUUCAAGGUUCUCCACCCAGGCCCUGUAGAUUGGACUGACAAAGGACAGACCAACGGGAGAAAAGCAACUGGAAGGUCAUUAACACGUGCGUCCUGCAUUCACGUGGUAUCCGGUGAUCAGUCACUCAAAGGGAGGGUUAGCUUGGGGUCUCUCCACCCAACCUAGUCAAGGCAGGGGUGAGGGUGGUAAGGGGGAGAAAGGGCACUUACGGAAAAGCAGGUGACUUUCUGGAAAAUAAAUGGGCCUUAAGAGAGCAGGUGGGAGACAUGAUUGUCUGUGACGGGGUCUGGUGGGGCGCCAGAAGAGGAGAUUAUAGAGUUGCCCCAGGAGGGGAUUUAGGAGAGUUGCGUUCUUUGGGGGUGCGGGGGGGUGGCACUCUGCUUUUAGGCAGAUAAGGGAUUCCAGAAACUCAAAUGCCUUCAGCUCAAAAAUCGUUUUUAUUGCCCAGUGGCAUAUUUUGGGGUAACAGAUCCCGAUACCCUUCACUGUCAAUGACAGAAUGUUUCUCAAAAGAAGGAAGAGAGAUUCAGGUAAUGGGGCAUUUCCGGAGAAGAAAAAUGGUUGUUUACAGGAUGUGAUGUGAUUGUUUGAACUUUUUUUCAUUUUAAGAAGAUUCUUAUACUAAAUUUAUGUCAUACCCAGUGUCACUUUAACAUGGAGUUUUAUAUUUGUUGUCAUUUCAGAUCUCUCCCUCAGGGCUCGUUAUACUAUAAGCACAAAAAUGACGCCUAGUCAAUACUUUGCUAAGAUCCCUUUUCUUUUCAUUUUCAUGAUUAGAGAAAAGCAUUCCAUCUCCACAAGUAGGGAUUUAUUCACAGAGGAUCUACAGCUUAAUCUUCUGGAAAUACUAUUCUCAGUUAUCUUUUAUUUAUUUAUUUAUUAGCAUCUUUAUUGGAGUAUAAUUGCUUUACAGUGGUGUGUUAGUUUCUGCUGUAUAACAAAGUGAAUCAGCUAUACGUAUACAUCCCC